CUGGCGGCGUGCCUAAUACAUGCAAGUCGAACGAACUCUGGUAUUGAUUGGUGCUUGCAUCAUGAUUUACAUUUGAGUGAGUGGCGAACUGGUGAGUAACACGUGGGAAACCUGCCCAGAAGCGGGGGAUAACACCUGGAAACAGAUGCUAAUACCGCAUAACAACUUGGACCGCAUGGUCCGAGCUUGAAAGAUGGCUUCGGCUAUCACUUUUGGAUGGUCCCGCGGCGUAUUAGCUAGAUGGUGGGGUAACGGCUCACCAUGGCAAUGAUACGUAGCCGACCUGAGAGGGUAAUCGGCCACAUUGGGACUGAGACACGGCCCAAACUCCUACGGGAGGCAGCAGUAGGGAAUCUUCCACAAUGGACGAAAGUCUGAUGGAGCAACGCCGCGUGAGUGAAGAAGGGUUUCGGCUCGUAAAACUCUGUUGUUAAAGAAGAACAUAUCUGAGAGUAACUGUUCAGGUAUUGACGGUAUUUAACCAGAAAGCCACGGCUAACUACGUGCCAGCAGCCGCGGUAAUACGUAGGUGGCAAGCGUUGUCCGGAUUUAUUGGGCGUAAAGCGAGCGCAGGCGGUUUUUUAAGUCUGAUGUGAAAGCCUUCGGCUCAACCGAAGAAGUGCAUCGGAAACUGGGAAACUUGAGUGCAGAAGAGGACAGUGGAACUCCAUGUGUAGCGGUGAAAUGCGUAGAUAUAUGGAAGAACACCAGUGGCGAAGGCGGCUGUCUGGUCUGUAACUGACGCUGAGGCUCGAAAGUAUGGGUAGCAAACAGGAUUAGAUACCCUGGUAGUCCAUACCGUAAACGAUGAAUGCUAAGUGUUGGAGGGUUUCCGCCCUUCAGUGCUGCAGCUAACGCAUUAAGCAUUCCGCCUGGGGAGUACGGCCGCAAGGCUGAAACUCAAAGGAAUUGACGGGGGCCCGCACAAGCGGUGGAGCAUGUGGUUUAAUUCGAAGCUACGCGAAGAACCUUACCAGGUCUUGACAUACUAUGCAAAUCUAAGAGAUUAGACGUUCCCUUCGGGGACAUGGAUACAGGUGGUGCAUGGUUGUCGUCAGCUCGUGUCGUGAGAUGUUGGGUUAAGUCCCGCAACGAGCGCAACCCUUAUUAUCAGUUGCCAGCAUUAAGUUGGGCACUCUGGUGAGACUGCCGGUGACAAACCGGAGGAAGGUGGGGAUGACGUCAAAUCAUCAUGCCCCUUAUGACCUGGGCUACACACGUGCUACAAUGGAUGGUACAACGAGUUGCGAACUCGCGAGAGUAAGCUAAUCUCUUAAAGCCAUUCUCAGUUCGGAUUGUAGGCUGCAACUCGCCUACAUGAAGUCGGAAUCGCUAGUAAUCGCGGAUCAGCAUGCCGCGGUGAAUACGUUCCCGGGCCUUGUACACACCGCCCGUCACACCAUGAGAGUUUGUAACACCCAAAGUCGGUGGGGUAACCUUUUAGGAACCAGCCGCCUAAGGUGGGACAGAUGAUU
rnacentral:rRNA from 2 species